GUGUAUGUGUGUGUGAUGUUAAAAUCACUGAUUUUCUCUAUGAGGUUUGAUGCGUUUGUUGUUUGUCAUAACUAAGCAUGAUUAGCGCUACGCUGCUAACCGAUGCUACACCUGGAAGAGAGAGAUGAAUUUUACACACUGCACCUUUAACUGUGGUACCAGUCUCUGCAGCGUCUCUCAGGAGGACGUCCACGUGAGCCUGACAGUGCAGGUUCUCUCCUGCAGGGCUAACGACGUUAGCUCAGCUCACAAGCUCCAGUUUGUGAGUGUUCUAUUUGUUGGGUGCAGUUUGUUUGGCUUGAGGAGGAAAAGGAUUAGGUUUUGAUCCAGAUCCAGGAUUUAUUUCAGUGAACAACAUUUGUAUGAUGCUUUAGAAUAUGUUUCACUGUACAGCACUUAUUAUUAUCAAUAUUAUCAUUAUUAUUAGGGUUCAAGCACAGGGUGCGUAGAACCCUAUUAAAAUGCAAGGAAUGCUUAUUAUUUUUCCUCAAUGAAUAGCAUUUUGAACCCCAAACCAAAGGUUUUUUGCGACCGCAUCAAUCCUGAUGGUAAUUUACAAGUGAAAGUCGUUCGGUGAAAAAGCAUGGAAAAUUUGAUGUGGGAGGAGCCUACAAAAUUAAAAUCAGCUUUUUGUCGUGUUUCACGUAUAUGAACGAAAGUUGGUAAUCAUGUCAGGACGGUCCAAAAUGUCAAUGAGGACUUUGCCGUAAGUCCUACAGGAAGGCCGCCAUCUUGGACUGAAUAGCCAUUGUUGUUGCUGUUGUUAAUAAUAAUAUAAAAUAAAAUAUGUAGAGCAGCAAAGUGUGAGCUGUGGCCCCCUAGUGGACAUUCCUGGUAAAUUAAUGUAUUUUUAAUUUUCACUUUUGUAAUUGCUGUAAAAUAUGAACGAUAGAUUUUAAGAAAUAUUUGUAAUAUUAAAAUAUUCUCACACCAUCAAGGACUUUUCCAGGACCAAGUCCUUGAAACUCAAGGACUGAAUGGGCUGACUGAAGAUGGGAGGACAACAUGUAAGAGCUCGUCUUCGUUCGUCGUCCUCGCUCGUUGUGAUGUCUCGCAUCGGCCUCGUCUACGUACAUCAAACAGUGCAAAGCGUGAACAGUGAAGAACGAAGCCCAGAGGCAGGACAAGGAUCUUCAGCGCCUGACACAGCCUGCAGAGCCUCCACUACUGCCAAACUACUCAUGUGUCAGGAAUCCAUGAACUCACAGGACCAGCAGGGGGCGUCAUUGUCACUCCUCUGGCAGCAGGAUUGGUGCAUGGGCGGAGCCUCACAGCAUGCCGUGGAACAGAAGAACAGAGGCCUCGUGUG